rnacentral:rRNA from 1 species
GAUGAACGCUGGCGGCGUGCCUAAUACAUGCAAGUCGAGCGAACAGACGAGGAGCUUGCUCCUUUGACGUUAGCGGCGGACGGGUGAGUAACACGUAGGUAACCUACCUAUAAGACUGGGAUAACUUCGGGAAACCGGAGCUAAUACCGGAUAAUAUUUCGAACCGCAGGGUUCGAUAGUGAAAGAUGGCUUUGCUAUCACUUAUAGAUGGACCUGCGCCGUAUUAGCUAGUUGGUAAGGUAACGGCUUACCAAGGCAACGAUACGUAGCCGACCUGAGAGGGUGAUCGGCCACACUGGAACUGAGACACGGUCCAGACUCCUACGGGAGGCAGCAGUAGGGAAUCUUCCGCAAUGGGCGAAAGCCUGACGGAGCAACGCCGCGUGAGUGAUGAAGGUCUUCGGAUCGUAAAACUCUGUUAUUAGGGAAGAACAAACGUGUAAGUAACUGUGCACGUCUUGACGGUACCUAAUCAGAAAGCCACGGCUAACUACGUG